rnacentral:lncRNA from 1 species
UCUCUUCAGCUCAGAGGCGACACGGACUUCCCGUUCACUUCCGGUCCGGAGAAAUGACGUCAUGACGCGCAUCCGCGGUGAGGAGUUAGAGGAGGGUCUCCCCCCUCCCUGCCGCCUCCUCCCGCUCUCUUUGAGCCGCUGCUAACGGUCUUGGCGCGAGCGUCCGAAUUCCCUCUCGUCGCUUGUUGCGCGCGGCCAGCAUUCCAGAGUCUAAAUAACUGGCAGAGAAAUGGGAUGAAUAAAUAAAUAAUGGGAGUUUCUUAUACGGCGGAAGUAACUGUAUGAGCUGUCAACGGAUGUGGCUAUCGAAAGCGCCAGUUCUGUUGCUUCCGCGAGGGGAUGAUUGUCGGCUAAGCAGCGCAAGUUGACCACGGCGCCCAAAAGGAGAUCGCUGUCUCUGUCCACACGGUUUAGCUAGUGUUGCUUUCACACAAAUAAAGCUAAUAAGUGUGCCAAGUCCCACAGCCUGACUUGCAUGUGGCCUUUCUUCAUUCACAUCAGAGCGUUGCACAAUUUAAAAUUAGGGGCAUAUAUGAAAAAUAGGUAAAAUGAAAAACAAGUUCAAAAGGAGACACAAAGUUGGGAACCACUGCUUUCAUGGAAUCUAGAUGUUUAGCCUACCUUUGAUGACUUUGGCUGGUUUAUUCCUCUUUUGAUGCCUUGAUUUUUUACCCCUGUUCACAAUGGUAAAUGGUUUUUGUUGUUUCAAGCCAUUAAGGUAUCUUAUUUACAGCAACACUGAAUUAGUGACCUCCAGAAUGGCCUUUUAGUAACAGCUCAGCUCUUGCAAGCUCAAGGCUGUGGCUGUCUUCAGCUGGUUCAAAAUGCUAACAGCCAAGCUGCUCAGGGAGCAUAUACUACAGAAGCUUCACUGAAGCAGCUGAUCUACUGUGUUUCCCCGAAAAUAAGACAGGGUCUUAUAUUUCUGUUACAAAAUGCAUUAGGGCUUAUUUUCAGCAGAAAUACACUCUCUUCAUCUGUUGUGCACGGAUGCAAAUAUAAGGAAAUAAAUACAGUAUACAUAUAGCUCAUUGAAUUUGCUUAUUAAGCUGCAGAUGCCAGGUACGUCUGACAGAGAUCUUGUCUAUUACUAUUAUCAUUACAAAUUCCCACUGCUAUCAUAUAAAGAUCUGAUGGCAGAAUUUCUAGAAAAGAGUGUAAAAUAAUUAUACUCAGGUAAGUAAAAUAAAAAUGAAACAAAGUCUACA